GCCUCCGUGGUGUAGCGGUCAACAUGUCUGACCCGGCUUGUCAUAAGACGUGGGUUCGAAUCCCAUCGGUGGCG